rnacentral:rRNA from 1 species
AUUGAACGCUGGCGGCAGGCCUAACACAUGCAAGUCGAGCGGCGCGGCGGACGGGUGGGUAAUGCCUAGGAAUCUGCCUGGUAGUGGGGGAUAACGUCCGGAAACGGGCGCUAAUACCGCAUACUCUCAGAUGAGCCUGGGUCGGAUUAGCUAGGUGGUGGGGGAAAGGACUACCAAGGCGACGGUCCGUAACUGGUCUGAGAGGAUGAUGAGUCAAACUGGAACUGAGAAACGGUCCAGACUCCUACGGGAGGCAGCAGUGGGGAAUAUUGGACAAUGGGCGAAAGCCUGAUCUAGCCAUGCCGCGUGGGUGAAGAAGGUCUUCGGAUUGUAAAGUACUUUAAGUGGGGAGGCGUUACAAACAGAAUAAGCACCGGCUAACUCCGUGCCAGCAGCCGCGGUAAUUC